rnacentral:rRNA from 1 species
UGCCGUGGUGGUGGUGGUGUUGGUGGUGUGUAUCAACAACAGCAGCAGCAGCAGCAGCAGAAAAGUGGCUAGCUCGAAGCAAGAACGAGUCUCUUUUCUCGAUCGACGACCUCAGAGCAGAGCAGGGAAAGACAU